rnacentral:rRNA from 1 species
GAUGAACGCUAGCUACAGGCUUAACACAUGCAAGUCGAGGGGAAACGACAUCGAAAGCUUGCUUUUGAUGGGCGUCGACCGGCGCACGGGUGAGUAACGCGUAUCCAACCUGCCCAUCACUUGGGGAUAACCUUGCGAAAGUAAGACUAAUACCCAAUGAUAUCUCUAGAAGACAUCUGAAAGAGAUUAAAGAUUUAUCGGUGAUGGAUGGGGAUGCGUCUGAUUAGCUUGUUGGCGGGGUAACGGCCCACCAAGGCGACGAUCAGUAGGGGUUAUGAGAGGAAGGUCCCCCACAUUGGAACUGAGACACGGUCCAAACUCCUACGGGAGGCAGCAGUGAGGAAUAUUGGUCAAUGGGCGAGAGCCUGAACCAGCCAAGUAGCGUGCAGGAAGACGGCCCUAUGGGUUGUAAACUGCUUUUAUAAGGGAAUAAAGUGAGUCUCGUGAGACUUUUUGCAUGUACCUUAUGAAUAAGGACCGGCUAAUUCCGUGCCAGCAGCCGCAGUAA